CUUUUCAUUUUCUAUCGGUUUUGUCUUGUCUUCCAUCACACCUGGUUCCAAUUCCAUCAAUUACAUGUUGUGUAUUUAACCCUCUGUUCCCCCUCAUGUCCUUGUCGGUAAUGGUUUCUGGUAGUGCUUUUGCAUGGUACGCUGGUAUUUACCAGGUUUUGUUUGACCCAUUUAUUGUGUUGUUCUGUUGACAGGUGGUUUAUGGAUAUUAAAGGACACUGUUGUAAAUCAGUUUUCGCUCUCCUGCGCCUGACUUCUCUGCCGCCAGUACGCACCUCACUACAACUGGUCCCAUCAUAGCCCUUAUAAAACCAUUUUACAGCUGAAUAAUCACUCAUAACUUUAUAGGGUCCAGAGUUGUCCUGGUUAGGUUAACAGAUAAGGAAAAACUCUGGGUCCCAGGGGAUAAAUGGAAUGUUUCCUUUCCAAGCACUUCAAAUCCUGUCCUGAAGUCAAGCCUCUGAACACCUCAACUCAUGCCUCAUACCCUCAUUCAAUCACUGCUGUGAUCCCUUUCCAACACUGUGUGGCCAUAGCUGUGGAUUCCAGAGUGGAUUCCUGUGUGUUGUGACCAAGAGAACAGAUGCCUUGGGUUCAGUGAAAACAAUUACAGGGUUGCUUACUGUACACACACACACCAGGCCACCGCAGGGGAGAGGGGACCUGUCCUGCUCCCAGUGUUGUGUGUUUUCAGUCCCACUCCAGACUAAUUCCUCCACAUAGAAACACAGGGAUGUGUGUCUGUGUGCCUGUGUGCUUGAUGAGGUCACCCAGCAGACUGAGCCAGAGGGAAACUGAACAGGCAAACAUGACUGAACAGGAGGGAGGACCACUCUUUUGCGUCCCAAAUGGCACCCUAAUUCCCUUUAUAGUGCACUACUUCUGAACAGGGCCCACACAUAUACAUGCAUGCGUACACACACACACACACACACACACUCUCCAGUGAAAAUGACUAUUUAAAACACUAUCCUUACUGGGGAUGUUUAGUGUGAGUGUAUGUGUUGAACAGAUGUUUUUAUACACAGUGCUGAUUUCCUCAACAAGUUGCAGCAUUGCCCUGUACUGCCCCGGGACAGCACGUACCCUUGCCUCCACGCAAAACAACUAGCAGGUACAAAGAAUGUACAAAUCAGAAUGGGUGGAACAGACAUUCCUUUUCAAAACAAUGUUAUGUACAUGUCAACUCAAAGCAAUAUCACGUUGCAAUGUCACAACAAAUCACCGUUAUAUGAUAGAAGCAUGGCUUGUGAGAAGGAGAGAGGGAGAAAGAUACAUAGUUAAAUAGAGAGAAAGGAAGAGAUAAUGUUUAAAAAGAAAAAGAUGAGAGGGAGAGGAAAUAGCUGGAUGUCUGAAGGGACUCAUAAAUCCAGAAAGAGAGGAAUGAGAAAGAUGACUGUUGGACUCCCUGGGGGUUGUGUUUGGAGACUCAGUCGGGGGCUGGAGGAGGUUGUGAAAGACCAGGGGGAAUUAGCAGAGGCAGGUGGAAGCAUAGGAGUCAGAAACAAUAUUUGCAAAAUGUACCAUACGGCAUUAUAAAGCAAUCUGAAUUGGAAUGAAAGUUUGAGGGGCCAGGCUGUUUGGAGUAGUAGGUGGAUGGGGAAGGUUGCAAGAGAUAAGGGGUGAUUGGGGGAGGCAGUGAGCUGGUGGAGAGGUCAGGUAGGUAGAGUACAGUUACUGUGCUGCUCCAUCACUCAUCUGACGUAACGCACUGACAUCCACAUCCAUCCGUUCACAUGGAGUUAUUGAACUAAGCGCGUGUAAGUAAGAGGGGAGCUUGACUGAUGACGGUAUCGGUGGGAGCCACAGGUCGGUUCCAUCUGAAUCUCAUACCUUAUGAAUCACAGCUUGAGACUAGAUUGGAUACAGAUUCAGAAACACUGGGUUGGUGUAUUGGAUGCAUCACGAGAAAAUGUACAAGGCUUCAGAGGGGUCACAGUGCCCCUCUCACUGUGGGGAACCUCUGGCCUGGUGAAGCUGACAGAAGCUCUACGACUAAAAAAAUAGACCCCUACUUUAUCAUCCCUGUAAUUCUUCUUUCUCUUAUCUGAGCAGACCAGAAACCUUUCAAUAUACAGUAUACAUUUAAACAAUACUUUAGAACCAUUUAAAUACAAUAAAUUGGAAGGUUGUGCAGGACCAUGGUAGAUGAAGGAACCAAUCUUUUCAGACUGUUAGAGUAUUUAUCUGGUCAGUAAGGCAGGGUAUUAUGUCUGCUGUUUGUAACUGUUUGUUAUAUGUGAAAAUGUGAUUGUAUUAUACAUUGUGGACGAAAAGAGAUCCUAAUCAAAUCUCUCACCCUGUCUCCUGGUAUUUUGUGUUGAAACUCCUUUACUUUAUCACCACAGUAAUGGCAGGUUGAUAAAGUAUUUGACAUGGUGAACUUUACCCAGUUACAGUUUGCACAAUUAACAUAACCAUUAAAACACAAUAAAAAAUGA